UGAGAAGGAAAGCGACCACGGUGCUUAGGU
rnacentral:piRNA from 1 species